GUAUUGCUGAAGAGUCGCAAACUGGGACGAAACAGUUUUCCAGUAC
rnacentral:hammerhead_ribozyme from 1 species